rnacentral:rRNA from 1 species
UGCCGGCGACCGGCGACGGGUGCGUAACGCGUAUGUAACCUACCUUUGACAGGGGGAUAACAUCGAGAAAUUGGUACUAAUGCCCCAUAACAUCACCGGAGGCAUCUUCGGUGGUUGAAAACUCAGGUGGUCAGAGAUGGACAUGCGUUGUAUUAGCUAGUUGGUGAGGUAACGGCUCACCAAGGCGACGAUACAUAGGGGGACUGAGAGGUCAACCCCCCACAUUGGUACUGAGACACGGACCAAACUCCUACGGAAGGCAGCAG